AUCUGGCUGCAGCUUGUGGGAUGGACAUCGUUCUGGUUUCCUGCUCUGGUCAAUAGAAUCCCGAGGGCUCUGACUUAUAAAAUGCCCUGCGGAAAUACAGGAAGAAAGGAAGCAAUUGUUCCAUAGCCCGUACCAGCCACAGCAAAGGAAGGAGCAAGAAAACCUAAAGAGGACAGCCAUCUCUACUAAGAGCUUAGCAGGAUCUAAAAACCAAAGCUGGGAUUGGGCAGAGUGACAGAUAGAGUCUGAAAUGGCAGAAGAAUGAAAAACCCUACUGAAAAGCUGAACAUGGUACAUAUACUAUUUCAAGGCACUCAUUUGUACAAGCCUAGCUUUUUCUGUUGGAGGCAGAGGUAUGGGGUGAGGAGGGUGUCUCCCUUAAAAAAUAACAAGAUUGCCUUAUGGCUCACAAAACACAUGGGGUGACAUUAUAGGGGGAAAUAGUUUGUGAACUCAGAAACCCCAAAAAUAGGU